CUACGGGUGGCAGCAGUGAGGAAUAUUGCACAAUGGGGGGAACCCUGAUGCAGCAACGCCGCGUGGAGGAUGACGCAUUUCGGUGUGUAAACUCCUUUUAUAUGUCAAGAAAAUGACGGUAGCAUAUGAAUAAGCACCGGCUAACUCCGUGCCAGCAGCCGCGGUAAUACGGAGGGUGCAAGCGUUACUCGGAAUCACUGGGCGUAAAGGACGGCGAGGCGGGUUGGAAAGUCAGGUGUGAAAUCCUACAGCUUAACUGUAGAACUGCACUUGAAACUUCUAAUCUAGAGUAUGGGAGGGGGAGAUGGAAUUAGUGGUGUAGGGGUAAAAUCCGUAGAUAUCACUAGGAAUACCUAAAGCGAAGGCGAUCUCCUGGAACAUUACUGACGCUAAGGCGUGAAAGCGUGGGGAGCAAACAGGAUUAGAUACCCCUGUAGUC
rnacentral:rRNA from 1 species